AUUGAACGCUGGCGGCAGGCCUAACACAUGCAAGUCGUGCGGAUGAAGGGAGCUUGCUCCUGGAUUCAGCGGCGGACGGGUGAGUAAUGCCUAGGAAUCUGCCUGGUAGUGGGGGAUAACGUCCGGAAACGGGCGCUAAUACCGCAUACGUCCUGAGGGAGAAAGUGGGGGAUCUUCGGACCUCACGCUAUCAGAUGAGCCUAGGUCGGAUUAGCUAGUUGGUGGGGUAAAGGCCUACCAAGGCGACGAUCCGUAACUGGUCUGAGAGGAUGAUCAGUCACACUGGAACUGGGACACAGUCCAGACUCCUACGGGAGGCAGCAGUGGGGAAUAUUGGACAAUGGGCGAAAGCCUGAUCCAGCCAUGCCGCGUGUGUGAAGAAGGUCUUCGGAUUGUAAAGCACUUUAAGUUGGGAGGAAGGGCAGUAAGUUAAUACCUUGCUGUUUUGACGUUACCAACAGAAUAAGCACCGGCUAACUUCGUG
rnacentral:rRNA from 1 species